AGAAGAAAUCUCACUUCCCCAAGUGCUCGGAUUCAUCAGUUGUGCAACAAAAUGAUGAUGAUGAUUCUACUACAAUUAUAUUCCUCAAAGGACUAGCAAAGUCAACACCCGAGGGAAGAUUGAAGGUGGUCUUUUCACAAUUUGGAAAUGUCAACCGAGUCAAGAUCGUAACUGACAAGAAAAGUAAGGAAUCUUUGGGGUUUGCAUAUAUCUGGUUUCCCGAUAAUGAAUCUGCCCAAUCUGCUAUCCGAGAGAUGAAUG
rnacentral:misc_RNA from 1 species